rnacentral:rRNA from 1 species
GAUGAACGCUAGAAAUAUGCCUUACACAUGCAAGUCGAACGGUAACGCGGGGCAACCUGGCGACGAGUGGCGAACGGGUGAGUAACGCAUCGGAACGUGCCCAGUAGUGGGGGAUAGCCCGGCGAAAGCCGGAUUAAUACCGCAUACGACCUACGGGUGAAAGCGGGGGAUCGCAAGACCUCGCGCUAUUGGAGCGGCCGAUGUCAGAUUAGGUAGUUGGUGGGGUAAAAGCCUACCAAGCCGACGAUCUGUAGCUGGUCUGGGACGACGACCAGCAACACUGGGACUGAGACACGGCCCAGACUCCUACGGGAGGCAUCAGUGGGGAAUUUUGGACAAUGGGCGCAAGCCUGAUCCAGCCAUGCCGCGUGCGGGAAGAAGGCCUUCGGGUUGUAAACCGCUUUUGUCAGGGAAGAAACGCUCUGGGCUAAUACCCCGGGGUAAUGACGGUACCUGAAGAAUGAGCACCGGCUAACUACGUGCCAGCCGCCGCCGUAAUAC